rnacentral:pre_miRNA from 7 species
CUUCGGGGUUCCGGGGUGUCACUCAUAUCUUGGUGGAACCUCCAAAUGAAAGAACCUAGCGGAGAAACCCCCACUCAAGUCCCCAGUUGGUGCACACCCAAGGAAUCACAAGAGACC